CGAUGUCUACUUGGAGGUUGUGGCCUUGAGCCGUGGCUUUCGGAGCUAACGCGUUAAGUAGACCGCCUGGGGAGUACGGUUGCAAGAUUAAAACUCAAAUGAAUUGACGGGGGCCCGCACAAGCGGUGGAGCAUGUGGUUUAAUUCGAUGCAACGCGAAGAACCAUACCUACUCUUGACAUCCAGAGAACUUUUCAGAGAUGAAUUGGUGCCUUCGAGAACUCUGAGACAGGUGCUGCAUGGCUGUCGUCAGCUCGUGUUGUGAAAUGUUGGGUUAAGUCCCGCAACGAGCGCAACCCUUAUCCUUGUUUGCCAGCGAGUAAUGUCGGGAACUCCAGGGAGACUGCCGGUGAUAAACCGGAGGAAGGUGGGGACGACGUCAAGUCAUCAUGGCCCUUACGAGUAGGGCUACACACGUGCUACAAUGGCGCAUACAGAGGGCGGCCAACUUGCGAAAGUGAGCGAAUCCCAAAAAGUGCGUCGUAGUCCGGAUUGGAGUCUGCAACUCGACUCCAUGAAGUCGGAAUCGCUAGUAAUCGUGGAUCAGAAUGCCACGGUGAAUACGUUCCCGGGCCUUGUACACACCGCCCGUCACACCAUGGGAGUGGGCUGCAAAAGAAGUAGGUAGUUUAACCUUCGGGGGGACGCUACCACUUGUUU
rnacentral:rRNA from 1 species